rnacentral:rRNA from 1 species
GAUGAACGCUGGCGGCGUGCCUAAUACAUGCAAGUCGAGCGAACAGACGAGGAGCUUGCUCCUCUGACGUUAGCGGCGGACGGGUGAGUAAAACGUGGAUAACCUACCUAUAAGACUGGGAUAACUUCGGGAAACCGGAGCUAAUACCGGAUAAUAUAUUGAACCGCAUGGUUCAAUAGUGAAAGACGGUUUUGCUGUCACUUAUAGAUGGAUCCGCGCCGCAUUAGCUAGUUGGUAAGGUAACGGCUUACCAAGGCGACGAUGCGUAGCCGACCUGAGAGGGUGAUCGGCCACACUGGAACUGAGACACGGUCCAGACUCCUACGGGAGGCAGCAGUAGGGAAUCUUCCGCAAUGGGCGAAAGCCUGACGGAGCAACGCCGCGUGAGUGAUGAGGGUCUUCGGAUCGUAAAACUCUGUUAUUAGGGAAGAACAAAUGUGUAAGUAACUAUGCACGUCUUGACGGUACCUAAUCAGAAAGCCACGGCUAACUACGUG